CAGCCUAGAGUACAUUUCCCAGUCAAGGUGCACAGAAGCCAAGGUGGUUACAUUAUUCUGCAAAUGAGAUGGUGAUAAACUGCUUCAGUGCAUGACCCUGACGUCAUCUAGCAUGGGGCUGGGAAAUCGAAGUGAGAGGCAUGCCUCGGGGCUGACGACCCGGGAGAGCAGGCACACAGGAAGGGUCGUCGGCGAAAGUGUGCAGCAGCAGAAUGGCGAUCUCCACAUGAAUGGCGGCCCCAAAUACCAUUGCAGGGCUGGGGCUGACACAUACAAGGGGGUGGAUCCUCUUUUGCACAUUCAAUAAAUUGUCCAAGCCUUUCAGAUGAUAGUUCCAGCAAAUUGAGUUCUAUAUUACAACUCUGAACUAUUGUUUAGCCCGUCAUCACUCACAUAAAACAGUCCUAUUCACACAGGACAUCAAAAGAGCAAAUAUAUGUUCGAGGUCUUCUUUCUCCUCUCUUCUGCUGUUAGUGAAGUUGGACCUGCCAUUAAACCGAAGAGGAUUGCUUCUUCAAGAAGAUACCAAGGAUACCAAUUCUGAUGAGUGGGAAAAAAGAUUGAAUAGGAAUGGGAUAGCAAAACAAUCAGCAAUCAAGAAUCAAGAAUCAAGACUGUAGAUUUACGAUGGGAAAUUCCGCAGCUUGACCACUGGAGAAAAUAUCUAUGGGGAAGGUGCUAGAUAGCAGAACCGAAUCUUCUC